rnacentral:rRNA from 1 species
GACAGAGGGGGCAAGCGUUGCUCGGAAUUACUGGGCGUAAAGGGCGCGUAGGCGGGAUGGCAAGUCGGUCGUGAAAUCCUUCGGCUCAACCGAAGAACGUCGAUCGAUACUGCUGUUCUUGAGGGUUGCAGAGGAGACUGGAAUUCCCGGUGUAGCGGUGAAAUGUGUAGAGAUCGGGAGGAACACCGGUGGCGAAGGCGGGUCUCUGGGCAAUUCCUGACGCUGAGGCGCGAAAGCGUGGGGGAGCAAACGGG